rnacentral:rRNA from 1 species
UACGUAGGGUGCGAGCGUUGUCCGGAAUUAUUGGGCGUAAAGAGCUCGUAGGCGGUGUGUCGCGUCGGCCGUGAAAACCUGCAGCUUAACUGUGGGCUUGCGGUCGAUACGGGCAUCACUGGAGUUCGGCAGGGGAGACUGGAAUUCCUGGUGUAGCGGUGAAAUGCGCAGAUAUCUGGAGGAACACCGGUGGCGAAGGCGGCAUCCUGGACCGACACUGACACUGAGGAGCGAAAGCCAGGGGAGCAAACGGG